rnacentral:rRNA from 1 species
UACGAAGGGGGCUAGCGUUGCUCGGAAUUACUGGGCGUAAAGCGCACGUAGGCGGUCUUUUAAGUCGGGGGUGAAAUCCUGGAGCUCAACUCCAGAACUGCCUUCGAUACUGGCGAUCUUGAGUCCGGAAGAGGUGAGUGGAACUCCUAGUGUAGAGGUGGAAUUCGUAGAUAUUGGGGAAGAACACCGGUGGCGAAGGCGGCGACCUGGUCCAUUACUGGACGCUGAGGCGCGAAAGCGUGGGGAGCAAACAGG